rnacentral:rRNA from 1 species
CCCGUUGUACACACCGCCCGUCACACCAUGGGAGUUGGUUCUACCCGAAGGUAGUGCGCUAACCGCAAGGAGGCAGCUAACCACGGUAGGGUCAGCGACUGGGGUG